GACGAACGCUGGCGGCGUGCUUAACACAUGCAAGUCGAACGGAAAGGCCCUGCUUUUGUGUGUUGCUCGAGUGGCGAACGGGUGAGUAACACGUGAGUAACCUGCCCUUGACUUUGGGAUAACUUCACGAAACUGGGGCUCAUACCGGAUAGGAGCUCCUGCUGCAUGGUGGUGGUUGGAAAGUUUCGGCGGUUGGGGAUGGACUCGCGGCUUAUCAGCUUGUUGGUGGGGUAGUUGCUUACCAAGGCUUUGACGGGUAGCCGGCCUGAGAGGGUGACCGGCCACAUUGGGACUGAGAUACGGCCCAGACUCCUACGGGAGGCAGCAGUGGGGAAUAUGGCAGAAUGGGCGGAAGCCAGAGGCAGCAAUGCCGCGUGCGGGAUAAUGGCCUUCGGGUUGUAAACCGCUGUCGCCUGUGACGAAGAGUGAGUGACGGUAAUGGGUAAAGAAGCACCGGCUAACUACGUG
rnacentral:rRNA from 1 species